UACGUAGGGUGCGAGCGUUAAUCGGAAUUACUGGGCGUAAAGCGUGCGCAGGCGGUUUCGUAAGACAGAGGUGAAAUCCCCGGGCUCAACCUGGGAAUGGCCUUUGUGACUGCGAGGCUAGAGUGUGACAGAGGGGGGUAGAAUUCCACGUGUAGCAGUGAAAUGCGUAGAGAUGUGGAGGAAUACCGAUGGCGAAGGCAGCCCCCUGGGUUACUACUGACGCUCAUGCACGAAAGCGUGGGGAGCAAACAGGAUUAGAUACCCUGGUAGUCCACGCCCUAAACGAUGUCAACUGGAUGUUGGGCGGGUUAAACCGCUUAGUGUCGUAGCUAACGCGUGAAGUUGACCGCCUGGGGAGUACGGCCGCAAGGCUAAA
rnacentral:rRNA from 1 species